UACAGUCAUAUCACAUUGAAACACUGAUUCCCUUAUAAUCACUGAAGGUAAGCAUCAUUGAGCCUGGUCAGUACCUAUAUGGGUGACCACUUGGGAAUACCAGGUACUGUAAG